rnacentral:rRNA from 1 species
CCAAUAGCGUAUAUUAAAGUUGUUGCAGUUAAAAAGCUCGUAGUUGAAUUUCGGGGUUCUACCGUUGGUCGGGCUAUUGUCUGUACUGGCGUGUAGAAUUUCUACCUUCUGGGGAACUAUCAUGUUAUUAAUUUAGCGUGGUAGGAAACCAGAACCUUUACCUUGAAAAAAUUAGAGUGUUCAAAGCAGGCUUAUGUCUGAAUACAUUAGCAUGGAAUAAUAAAAUAGGACGGUGGUCCUGUUUUGUUGGUUUCUGAAUCACCGUAAUGAUUAAUAGGGAUAGUUGGGGGCAUUAGUAUUCAAUUGUCAGAGGUGAAAUUCUUGGAUUUAUUGAAGACUAACUACUGCGAAAGCAUUUGCCAAGGAUGUUUUCAUUAAUCAAGAACGAAAGUUAGGGGAUCGAAGACGAUCAGAUACCGUCGUAGUCUUAACCAUAAACUAUGCCGACUAGGGAUCGGACGAUGUUAACUUUUCUUGACUCGUUCGGCGCCUUACG